rnacentral:tRNA from 1 species
GGGAGUGUAGCUCAGGGGUAGGGCACUUACCUAGCAUGUAUAAGGCACUGAGUUCAAUCCCCAGCACCACCA